CUUUCUCCUUUUGUAGGUAUGUGUUUUGGGCCUAUAUAUGUUCUGGAACCCUUUUAGGCAUUGUUUCAUGCAAAUAUAUGUAUACUUAUUAGAAAGUAAUGAAUAAUUUAAUAAUUUGUAAAACCAUAGGAUAACCAUGGUAAGUAUUGUGUUAAAUAAUUGGAAAAAUUCUAAGAGAAUUUCCUAUGGUACUCCUUAAUUCGUUCCCCCUGUUUAAGUUUUCCGAGAUGUCAUCUGUCUGGUAGGUAUUCUGUUUUUUGAGGGGUCUGGUGGUGUUUGAUUUUUUUUUUUUUUGCUUGGUUUGUUUUCUUUAUUUCAGAAAACCAUCACAAAAACAUUAUUUUAUGAGGAAGAUACUUUGAAUUGUGUGUCACAAGCACUAAGGUGAUGUCUUUAUAUUUUGCCAGUGAGGACCAGAACUGAAUAUGUGAAAUGUUGAAAAGAAAUCUUCCCCUUUGGUAAUGCUCAGUAAAGAGGUUUUAAUGCAGCAGUACUAUGACAAGAGGAACAUAAAAAAUAAAGGAGGAAAACUUUCUGUGCUUGUGCUGUAUCCAGAGUUUCCAAAGGGCAACUCUUCUUCAUCGCUUGUAGACAAGAAGACCUCGUUCACCUCCUACCCCUACAGUUCUGGAAGGAAAUCUAACACGGUUCCUAGAAAACCUCUGGAGGUCACAGCGUUCCUCAGUCAGCCUUGGGACUCUGCCCUGGAAGCUGGAUCUUUCUAGUCCACGCUCAUUUCCAGAUCUGCGCUGUUGACUAUGCACCAAAUAUCUCCUCAUAAUUUACAUCUUUUUGCCAGCUCCAGCAGCAGAUUUAGGUCUAAUGCUGUGUCAGAAACUCCUUGUGUUCCCAAAAACCCUUAGUCAAUUUGUGUUUCUGCAUGCUGAGCAAGAGGAUUUCUGCCCGUAAUAAAUAUUAGUAGACAAAAGCUGACAUACAGUGAUGUAGUUUCCUUAUGUAUUUGAAUGUUGUGGAUUUGAAUUUCUGUGAUUUAGAAAUAGU